rnacentral:lncRNA from 1 species
GACCACCGACCGCGACACGACUUUCGGCAUAGCUCCGGCAGAGCAGCCAGAAAACUCCCAGAAAAUGAAGAGUCGCGCCGAGAUGGCGUCACAGACACUCCGGCAUGAGUCGCCUUAGACCUGUACUGAGGACUUACAAAGAACAGCUAAUAUGUGGAGUGCAGAGGCAAAUCAAACAGGGGUGCUAACCUUCACCAUACUUACUGUCUAGCGAUAAAGAAAGAAGUACAUCUUCAAAAAACACCCUGAGAAGGGUGUGCUCUUAGAGUGUGGCCAUCCGCAAUUGAAGGCAAACUCUUCUGUGUGCAGAGAAGAGGAGGAGGCACAAAGUGUGUGGAGUAGAGCUUGAGAUGAAGUCCCUAAUCAUUUGGAGAGUCCCAUGCAGAGGAAAGCACUGGCAGAUGUUCAGGAUGCUUUCAACUGAAACACUAUUGGAAAUGAGAAGCCUGCCAAAAUUAUCUACCAGCAUCAGUUCAGUCAGUGUGAGAUGAUCUUUAAUUGAAGUACUUUUCUCUUGUUGCUUCUUAACUAGCAUUCCACCCCACCACAGCUGAUGUCAUCUGUGACAUCAUGAAGAUGGCAACCAUCUACACUGCAGUACUCUGAUAGUGCAGUACCCGCAUGCUCUUUAAUAGUUCCACAAAAGGUCUCUGCUUAAAGACUAGUGCCAGGACUGUUAGGAUGGAAAUAAAACGUGAUAUUCC